UCAGUGAUUCGUAUGCUUCGUUUAGUCAGAAGCGCAUGUGCGUUGCCUGUUAUCGUCUUGCAUCAGUUACUCUGUUGGUAUUAGUUUUGUAUGUGUCUUCUUGGAACGUCAUCAUCAGUAAAAAAGCCAGGCUGUCCCAAGAGAUCGUGAGUGGCGAAAUAUGAGUGGUUUUCCAUCUCUGCAUUAAUCCUCGUCCGACCCUGGUGAGCAGUUAUAGUCAAAUGUCAAAGAAAUGGUCAUAAAUCGUGAUUAACCUGGUGUAAGCCCCAACAACCUUCUUUGGCAUGAGUGACUAAAAACAAUCCAAAAAUGAGUCGAUAUUCCGGACGUCUUUUUUCAAAAAGGUAAGUUUGAUUCGUAACAAACGUAUGCAACACCUUUGCAUUUAGAAAUAAUUUUAGUUUGUAAUAUUUAUCAGCCCCUACAAUUUUUGUAAAUAAGCACUAAAAUUUUUCCCAACCCCUACAGUAACUAAGAUCUUGUACUAUAAAUAAGGCUACCCUGUGUGUAUGGACGUUAUAUAAGUAAACAAUUUUAAUAAAUUAUUAAUUUAUACGGUUUGUUGGAAGUAAGGACAAAAUGUACGUCAUUUUCAUUAAACAUUUAACCUUUUCUGUUUGUUGCGUCAAAUAAUUAAUUAACAGCACCUUUUUAAAUUUUUAAUUAGUACAUCAAGAAAAAUUGCAAAAGAAGUGCGUUCGUUUUUCUAAAUGUAAUUGCAUUUGAAACAAUUUCAAUUGCAAAGUUAUUGAAAUACGUGUCUCGAAACAAUUAUAUUUUUGCUAGCUGUUUAUCUUUGGAGGU